rnacentral:rRNA from 1 species
UACGUAGGGGGCAAGCGUUGUCCGGAAUUAUUGGGCGUAAAGAGCGCGUAGGCGGUCCGAUAAGUCGGCUGUGAAAGUCCAGGGCUCAACCCUGGAAAGCCGGCCGAUACUGUCGGACUAGAGUCCGGAAGAGGCGAGUGGAAUUCCCGGUGUAGCGGUGAAAUGCGCAGAUAUCAGGAGGAACACCGGUGGCGAAGGCGGGUCUCUGGGCAGUAACUGACGCUGGAGGAGCGAAAGCUAGGGGGAGCAAACGGG